rnacentral:rRNA from 1 species
UACGGGGGGGGUAAGCGUUGUUCGGAAUUACUGGGCGUAAAGGGCUCGUAGGUGGCCAACUAAGUCAGACGUGAAAUCCCUCAGCUUAACUGGGGAACUGCGUCUGAUACUGGAUGGCUUGAGUUUGGGAGAGGGAUGCGGAAUUCCUGGUGUAGCGGUGAAAUGCGCAGAUAUCAGGAGGAACACCGGUGGCGAAGGCGGGUCUCUGGGCCGAUACUGACGCUGAGGAGCGAAAGCGUGGGGAGCGAACAGG